ensembl:misc_RNA RN7SKP278 RN7SK pseudogene 278
GGAUGUAAGGAUGAUCUGGCUGCUUCAUCUGUCACCCCAUUGAUUGCAGGGUUGAUCUGGCUAAUCUAGCUGGCCUAGGCAGGUGUCCCCCUUCCCCCCUCACUGCUCCAUGUGUGUCUCUCUGGAAGCUGAGCACUCUGUUGAAUACGAUGACUAUCCCUGAUAGAGGAGGACCGGUCUUUGGUCAAGGGUAUACGAGUAGCUGUUCUCCCUCAAAAAUCUCCGAACAAAUUCUCAAAAUUAGUGCAAAGUCUGAUGUCAACUCUUCUGGUCUUUCUCGAGUUUUUACAGCCUUCAAACCCAGCUCUUCAUUCUGCUUUAAUUUAUCUAGGAUAUAAAGUA